AUGAAAGGCAAGUACAUUCUAGGCAGAAGGAUUAGCCAUUGCAAAGGCCCUGCAUCAGGAAUGAGCAGAGUGUGCCUGGGAAAGAGGAAGAUGAGGAUAGAUAGAGUUAAGUCAGUAAGGAGUGGGCAGGUAAGGCUGGAGAAGUGGACAAGUCAUAGUAAGAAAUUUAUAUUUUAUUCUCUACGCAGUGAGACUCCCUGGAAAGUGUAUAAUAUGCCUUAUGUUCCUUUAAGAUUGACCCAGUUGAAGCAUCACAAUGGGUGGAGGGCAGGAUGGAGUAAGAACGGAAGCUGGGAGAAGAGUUUGGAAACAUCACAGCAGUGUAGGGAAGCAGAUGAAGGCAGCUUGUCCGAUAGUGGUGUUAAUGAAGACGCAGGGGCAUUUGGAUAGAAUCUAAAGAGAAACACAGUACACAGUAACUAACAUAUAAGAGGAGCAUUUGUUCAACCCUCUGACUUCUCUAGUGAAUGGCAAUUAUCAGCAAAAUUUACCAAACUGACAUAGAUGAUACAA
rnacentral:lncRNA from 1 species